GAUGAACGCUGGCGGCGUGCCUAAUACAUGCAAGUCGAGCGAACAGACGAGGAGCUUGCUCCUCUGACGUUAGCGGCGGACGGGUGAGUAACACGUGGAUAACCUACCUAUAAGACUGGGAUAACUUCGGGAAACCGGAGCUAAUACCGGAUAAUAUAUUGAACCGCAUGGUUCAAUAGUGAAAGACGGUUUUGCUGUCACUUAUAGAUGGAUCCGCGCCGCAUUAGCUAGUUGGUAAGGUAACGGCUUACCAAGGCAACGAUGCGUAGCCGACCGGAGAGGGUGAUCGGCCACACUGGAACUGAGACACCGUCCAGACUCCUACGGGAGGCAGCAGUAGGGAAUCUUCCGCAAUGGGCGAAAGCCUGACGGAGCAACGCCGCGUGAGUGAUGAAGGUCUUCGGAUCGUAAAACUCUGUUAUUAGGGAAGAACAAAUGUGUAAGUAACUAUGCACGUCUUGACGGUACCUAAUCAGAAAGCCACGGCUAACUACGUG
rnacentral:rRNA from 1 species